GAUGAAUUUUUGUGGUAUAUGAAAAAGGUGAGGGGAUUAACAUGUGGAGGUCAUGAGUUACAGAAAAAUCAUAUUUUUUUCAAUGAAUCUUCAUAUUUCUCAUUGGCGGCUUUAAAGUUGAGAGAGAAAGAUAUGGGAAAAUUGCGUCGUUUUCAAUUAUUGGUCUAGGUUUUUUUUUCACUCAAACAUUGGUCAUGGGUAUAUAUAGCAUUAGGGCUGGACAAGGAUCCGAAGCCCGGUCCAAAACGUAGAAAACCGGAGAAAAAAAAGGAAUUGGGCGGGUUAAGAUGGGUUAGCGGUUAAACGGAUUUAACUAAUGGGUUAAACCGGUUCUUAAUGGGCGGGUCCGGGUAGGUUUUAGUGAACCGCGGGUACUCUGACCGGCCCGGUUGAGAGACCUAGGAAAAACUGUGUCGUUUUGAACUAGGGUUUACCACUCUCUCAUUCUGUUUGUUCUCUCCUUCACUCCUCAGCCGCACACCAUCAUCACUCACCAACCCUAGCUUCAACUCUCACCAUCCAGCAUAGAUACACCAUUACUCACCACCCAUUAUCAUUAACUACCAUCAAACGAAGUUGCAGUGUUCGUUCAAAUCAACUCUCACACCAUAAAACCUUAUCUUCAGCUCUCGCCACCCACCACUAGUUCACCAUUAGAAUGAGUUUCGAAGGAUCUAGCCUUGUUGAUACUUGGAAAGCUUGAGUUCGCUCUUCAUUCUUUUCGUGUUUUGUCCAUCAUACGAAGUUUUGUUAAUUCAUCUUCAACUCUCCUCUCACAGCAUCCGGAAGUUUGAUACCUGGAAAAAUUGCAAAUGGAUCAACGUCAAAGUAGCAUGGAAAGAGUCUUAGAGCAAGAGCAAUGCAAUUGUAAGUGUAUUUGACUUCAUGUCUUUGAAAUGUAUGCUAAUUGGGACUGUAUGUGUUGUAUGCAUAUGAAUUUGGGCUGAAUUGUGACUAUUUUUAACUGAUUUUCAAAUUGAUUUAAAACCAAUUAGUAGUGUAUGAGAUUGUUUGAAAUGUAUGUUAAUUGGGUUUAUUUGUAUGUGUUGUGUGCAUAUGAAUUGGGACUGUUUUAAACUGAUUCUCAAAGUGUAGAUGAACAAGCCAGUAGAUUGGAUGAAGUUGUAGGAUUUGAAUACAAUUAUUGGAAUUAUUUCAUGCUAAUGAUCAUUUUCUAUGUCAAGAAUAUGUUGUAUACUUAAUCCCAUUUUUAUCUCAUUUAACAUGUUUGCGAGCAUGGUGAAUGAGAAGAUCCAAGAUACUCACCAAAACCUCAAAUAGCAUGUUGAUACAAUAAUAUUUAGCUUAUUGAAUUUAAUUCUGAAAAUUAGAAGC